CGCGCGCUCCACCCGCCCUCUUUUGCCGCAGGCCGUGGGAAUGGAUACAUCUGCCCACGUGCGGAGAGCCCGCUGGCCAUGACAACGACGACUACCACCAUAACCGCGGUACGCUCCAUCUCCUGCCCUGCUGAUCCUCAGGGCUUGUCCUCUCACAACCACCUCACAGGGAUGGCCACGACCAGUCAAGGGCACUUUGACCCUUAUGAGGCUCUGGAUCUUACAGAAUUUGCCAAAAACCAGCCUUGGUGGCGCAAGCUUUUCGGGCAGGAGACGCGUCCUUCAGGCGAGAAGUACAGCGUGGCAACCCAGCUCCUGAUCGGCGGCGUCACCGGCUGGUGCACUGGCUUCAUAUUCCAGAAAGUUGGGAAGCUGGCUGCCACAGCAGUGGGAGGGGGCUUUUUUCUCCUUCAGCUCGCAAACCAUACUGGCUACAUCAAAGUUGACUGGAAUCGAGUAGAGAAGGACAUGAAAAAGGCCAAGGAGCAGCUGACGAUUAGGAAGAGCACCCAAAUACCAAACGAGGUCAAGAGCAAAGCUGAGGAGUUGGUGUCCUUUGUCAAGAAGAAUGUUUUCGUGACUGGAGGAUUUGUUGGAGGCUUUCUGCUCGGUAUGGCAUCCUAAGGGGUAUGGCUUCACUUCCACUGUUCAGCAGCUUCUACAUACCAUCGUAGAACAAUCUAGACUCUCUUCCUCCUCUUCAUGCCCUCCUCCCUGUUGUAAAUCUGAACCGCUUCCAUGGGCAUCUGCCCAUGCCAGUUAACACAGGUCCUCCCAUGGGCUUGACAAGCCACGGGGAAGCACUCUCUCCAUCUGGAGGCCAACAAGAAGGGUCCUUUUCCCGUGUGUAAAAUCUGUCCCAACCAUCUUUAAGAUCUAUCCCUAACAGUCGAGCUGGAAGAGCGGUGCACAAUUACCUUACUAUGCGCUAUGUGGAAAGGAACUGAAUGUAUCUGACUUUGAGCAUGGGAAGAAAGAAAAUAAAGCAGGGACAGUUGUGGGAGUACUACACACUAGCCAGCUAUUUUAGGGGGACAGUCUCCUUACAGCAUUUUACAAGAUUAGUUUGCAAGAACCCAUCUAGUUGGGUUCUCUGCUUCAGGGCCACGUCUACUUCAAUCAAACGUCAGCUGGGUGAAAUUUUCAUCUAGAAGCUUCAAGGAGAAGAAUCUGCUUUCGGGCUCUUAGGUUUGGGGUACAGUUUAUAUAUUUGCAACUAUAGGAUUUAUUCAUAUUUUGACCUUUGUCAGCCAGAGGACAAGCUCAGCUUUGGGAGGCUAUCCACUCAGUUCAUCUCACACUGACUUUGCUCUCUCCAUAUAAGUCAGAAACAGCAGCUGACUUAUUUUCUUCACGGCCAGGUGGAAAGAGAGAGAGUGGGCUCUGGGGGUCCAACACCUCUGCAGAAAAGGGCAAUUGUGUGAGUGCAAUCAAUGUUUCCAUUGCCUGUUGGUUAAACGGUAAAAAUCAUGGGUCCUGCCCAAACUCAACUCUGUGAGCAACAAAAAGCAAUAUCUUAUGGACCACCUGGAAACUGUAUGCUGCAUGGGGAGAAGAAACCGUUCCUUCUCAGCCUUUGAGUAUGUCUGGGUUGACACCUUUACUACCAGGAUUAGACCUUCAUAUUUCUACCACAGGAGGAAAAAACCCUACUAAAACCACAAACUCCAUAGACCUGAGCAACCACUUGUUUAUAAGCCAAUUGGCUCUUUACACUUUCAAUCAUGUUUAUAUUCUUCCAUUCACUUAAACUCUUACUUAAAAAAACAACCCCUCCAAAGGAAAAUGCCAAUUAGUACUUUGGGUUUUUUUAGUCAUUAAACAAAUGGUAAAUGGAAA